CGUUUUAGAAACAUCAGUGGCCAACAGAUCGCCAGAUCGUUGAGCUGCAUUGGCGGGAUUUCGCCGUCUUCGUUUCUCUUUCUUCGCGGACGAACACGCGCUGGGGCUGCAAGUUGCAGAAUCCCUGGUCCUUAACAGGAUAUGCGUUAGGGGCUUGUAGCUCAGUUGGUUAGAGCGCGCGCUUGAUAAGCGUGAGGUCGGAAGUUCAAGUCUUCCCAGGCCCACCACUUUCAUCGAGUGAGCAUUCGUCUUCUGGUUACGGGGCCAUAGCUCAGCUGGGAGAGCGCGUGCUUUGCAAGCAUGAGGUCGUCGGUUCGAUCCCGUCUGGCUCCACCAGAUGGUUUGAUCACCGAGAUCUUGUACCGUCGUCCGCGAAACAUCACUUCGCACUUACUAGUCUGGAUAGACAGUAAGCUGCGUGAUUUCUGACAUCGUAAAGAGGAGAUCGAUCCGAGUUGGAUCGUGCGGCAAGCAAUUGCCACGCGAGACUUCAUUAUCUCCGGAUCAUUUUCGGCGCUCGACGCUGACCGCAAGGUUGGCUGCGAGUUGUAAAAUGAUCCUUUUAGCGAAGCUUGACCGCCUCGCUAUCGGAACGAUCUUACGAAGCAAGCUGGUCUUUCUAGUCAAUGUCCGGCUGUACGUAGCAUUCAUCGAGGGUGCGCGCCGCAAGGCAAUCGUACAGACAACAUUCUGCCGAGUGUGUGGACAUUGAUAAUGAGAGCAAUCAAGUGCCUUAAGGGUGUUCGGUG
rnacentral:tRNA from 1 species